rnacentral:rRNA from 1 species
UACGUAGGGUGCAAGCGUUAAUCGGAAUUACUGGGCGUAAAGCGUGCGCAGGCGGUUGUGCAAGACAGAUGUGAAAUCCCCGGGCUCAACCUGGGAAUUGCAUUUGUGACUGCACGGCUAGAGUGUGUCAGAGGGGGGUAGAAUUCCACGUGUAGCAGUGAAAUGCGUAGAGAUGUGGAGGAACACCGAUGGCGGAAGGCAGCCCCCUGGGUCAAGAUUGACGCUCAUGCACGAAAGCGUGGGGAGCAAACAGGA